rnacentral:rRNA from 1 species
GUAGUCAUAUGCUUGUCUCAAAGAUUAAGCCAUGCAUGUCUAAGUAUAAGCACUCAUACUGUGAAACUGCGAAUGGCUCAUUAAAUCAGUUAUCGUUUAUUUGAUAGUACCUUUACCUGGAUAACCGUGGUAAUUCUAGAGCUAAUACAUGCUAAAAAUCCCGACUUCGGAAGGGAUGUAUUUAUUAGAUAAAAAACCAAUGCCCUCUGGGCUCCUUGGUGAUUCAUAAUAACUUAACGAAUCGCAUGGCCUUGCGCCGGCGAUGGUUCAUUCAAAUUUCUGCCCUAUCAACUUUCGAUGGUAGCGUAGUGGGCUACCAUGGUCUCAACGGGUAACGGGGAAU